rnacentral:rRNA from 1 species
UACGUAGGUGACAAGCGUUGUCCGGAUUUACUGGGCGUAAAGAGCGCGCAGGCGGUCGAUCAAGUCGAGUGUGAAAGCCCCCGGCUCAACUGGGGAGGGUCAUUCGAUACUGAUCGACUCGAAGGCAGGAGAGGGUAGUGGAAUUCCGGGUGUAGUGGUGGAAUGCGUAGAGAUCCGGAGGAACACCAGCGGCGAAGGCGGCAUCCUGGACUGGUCCUGACGCUCAGGAGCGAAAGCGUGGGGAGCGAUCCGG